ACUGAGUUGGUAUUUUCUCAUAUUAUUCAACCGAUUGAAUCGGUCAAUAGAGACACACUCUAUAUGGCAUCUUAUCUCUUAGUUCUGUCAACAUGGUGUUGCCUUCAACCACUCACCCUCGCCAUCUCCCUCUAAAAAUACCUUACAAUCCAUCACUACGCUGCCAUCCAUCAUGUUCUGUAAAAAAAAAAAAUCACCAUAAACCCUAGAUGAAGUCACAUUCUUCGCUACCAGGGGUUAUUAUUUUAACUGGGCUCCUUCCAUUAUCUCAACAUUUCCCCAUAUCUUGGCUAUCUGUUCAUUGUUCUUAUAAACCCUUCUGUCUCUACUCAUAAAAGAUUUUCUACCAAGAUCAACUUUGAUUCCAUAUUUUCUGUUGAUGUCCAUACAAGGUGCUGCCUGACAAUCUUUCAUUUUAAUUCCCAUCGCAUGACAUGCAUUCAUGUCUUUCUUUCUAAUUUCCUAUUUUUUACUCCAAGAUCGGCACUGGUGAUGAUUGUGUCUCUAUUCCAGUUGGUGCAACCAAUAUAUGGAUAAAAAUUUUGCUCAUGGAUCGGAACACCGAUUCAGUCUUUAUCAGUUCAACUCACACAAAAGAAGAUGAGUAUGAGGAUUUUCACAAUAGGUGUUCUGCAUGCCUUUAUCUCUAUCCGAUUGUUAAGUGUUACAAGUGUUUGGUAUAUUCAACAACUUUAUUAGAGCAUAUGAUGGAGAGAUGCUAGAAAUGGAAGUAGAGGCUAAAUGCUUGGUUGUAUGUAUUAUGUGUGUCUUUUGUUUAUGGAUGUAUGCUGUGAUUUGUAUAUGUAUGUUGUAUCUUAAUUUUUUCUCUCUAUCUAUGUGUGUGUGGAGCGUCACUAAGAAAAUAAUUAAAAUUAAUAUUUACAUUAAUUUAAGUUUAUUUUUAUUUGUUAUGCAUUAUUGUA